UUAUUAUUAUUUAUUGUAUGAAAAAUGAAAAAAGAAAAAGGAAAAAACGAACGGUGUUGAUAAAGCACUGUCUCUAAUCUCAGUCGUCUCCUACCUCAUUCCUUCUCCAGCGUCCGAUCUUCCUCCAUUCUCACCCGAUCUAAAGCCUCUCCUUCUCUCGCGCCCAAUUUUACAAAUCCCAACUACUCUACCGAGCUAGGGUUUCUGGUUUCGGUUCUGAUUUUGUUGUUGUUGUUGUUGUUGCUGUACUUUUUUCGUGGUUGGGGGUUGGUGGUGUGCUGUGUUGUUGGUUUAGGGUUUCGGGUUUGCAGCGAUGGCUGAAGCUCCGGCGAGUCCAGGUGGAGGGAGUCACGAGAGCGGUGGUGAUCAGAGCCCGCGUUCUAAUGUUCGUGAGCAGGAUCGAUAUCUUCCGAUUGCUAAUAUUAGUCGGAUCAUGAAGAAGGCUCUUCCGGCUAAUGGAAAAAUCGCUAAGGAUGCCAAGGAGACCGUACAGGAGUGCGUCUCCGAGUUCAUCAGCUUUAUCACUAGCGAGGCUAGUGAUAAAUGCCAGAGAGAAAAGAGGAAGACAAUUAAUGGGGAUGACUUGCUUUGGGCUAUGGCGACUUUAGGGUUUGAAGACUAUAUUGAUCCACUUAAGAUUUAUUUGACCAGAUACAGAGAGGUAUGUUUAUUAUUAUCAUUAUCGUUAACAAUUUUGGGUGAUUUUGAUCUUUUUGUUUAUGAAAGCUGAAAUCUUUUUACGUUUUUACCUUCAAUUUCUCCACGCUUUAGCGUUUAUGAAUUAUGAUAAAAUGUUAUGUAGCUUUAUUUGGAUAUAGGCUUUUCUUUACAAGCUAGUUUAUUGCUAUUGCUCAUAUUAUUAUUAUUAUUAUUAUUAUCUUUUUGGUUCUGGGAUUUUUUUUUCGUUCUUUCUCAUUAUGACGUGCAGUUUAAUUUUGAUUUUAAGGUUUUUUUUUUUUAAGCUUAAACUAACUUGCUCCUUUCUCCUGUUUGUCUUGUUUGAUUGCUUUUGGGUUCACAUGUGGGAUGUUGCAGAUGGAGGGUGACACUAAGGGUUCAGCAAAAGGUGGAGAUUCAUCCACGUCUAGUAAGAAAGAUAUUCACCCUAGUCCAAAUGCUCAGAUUGCACAUCAAGGCUCCUUCUCGCAAGGUGUUAAUUAUGCAAAUUCUCAAUCACAGGCUCAACAUAUGAUGGUUCCUAUGCAUGGCUCAGAGUAGAUAACAGAGAUUGGUUCUUCUUCAAUUAUUGCCAUAAUUGAGUUCAGUUUGCCAUUGAAGAAGAUAUUUAUCCGUCCCCACAACAAAAUUCGUAACAAGUUAUUUGUCUAAAGUGAAUACACUGAGAUAUUGGGUUGGUUCUGGUUCCCAUGUCUAUUAUAUUGUGGUAAUACUUGUAUAUUUAGGAGAGACAUUUGGUUGUGUAGAUUGACUAUUUAAAGAAUGUGCGGUGUAAAUCUUGGUGCCAUCUAGUAAUUAAUCAUCUAGUAAUAAAUUAAUUUGUUCUGUACAACUGUUUAUUUCUAGGACUAUUGAUGUGAUACGUGUUUGGAAAA